UACGUAGGGGUGCAAGCGUUGUCCGGAUUUAUUGGGUUUGAAAGGGUGCGUAGGCGGACCUGUAAGUCAGUGGUGAAAUACUCUAGCUUAACUAGAGGGGUGCCAAUGAUACUGCAGGGCUUGAGUACAGAUGAGGUAGGCGGAAUUGACGGUGUAGCGGUGAAAUGCAUAGAUAAUCGUCAAGAACACCGAUAGCGGAAAGGCAGCUUACUGGGCUGUAACUGACGCUGAUGACACGAAAGUGUGGGGAUCAAACAGGGA
rnacentral:rRNA from 1 species